rnacentral:rRNA from 1 species
CGGCGUGCUUAUACAUGCAAGUCGAACGAGAAAGUCCUUCGGGAGUGAGUAGAGUGGCGAACGGGUGAGUAACGCGUAUGUAAUCUGCCUUUGAGAUUGAGAUACCCCGGGAAACUGGGGCUAAUACCGAAUGACGCAUUAUACAUGGAGUAUAAUGUUAAAGGGGGGCAACUCCCGCUUGAAGAUGAGCCUGCGUCCUAUCAGCUAGUUGGUGGUGUAAUGGACUACCAAGGCGAAGACGGGUAGCUGGUCUGAGAGGACGAUCAGCCACACUGGGACUGAGACACGGCCCAGACUCCUACGGGAGGCAGCAGUAGGGAAUAUUGCACAAUGGAGGAAACUCUGAUGCAGCGACGCCGCGUGAGUGACGAAGGUCUUACUGAUUGUAAAGCUCUGUAAGGAGGGAAGAACCGCCUGGUGUAACGGCCAGGUCUGACGGUACCUCCAAAGUAAGCACCGGCUAAAUACGUGCCAGCAGCCGCGGUAAUACGUAUGGUGCAAACGUUGUCCGGAAUCACUGGGCGUAAAGGGUGUGUAGGCGGAGACGCAAGUCAGGUGUGAAAUCCCUCGGCUCAACCGAGGAACUGCGCUUGAAACUGCGUUUCUAGAGUAUGUCAGGGGCAGGCGGAAUUCCCGGAGUAGCGGUGAAAUGCGUAGAGAUCGGGAAGAACACCGGUGGCGAAGGCGGCCUGCUGGGGCAUUACUGACGCUGAGGCACGAAAGCGUGGGAAGCGAACGGGAUUAGAUACCCCGGUAGUCCACGCCGUAAACGCUGGAUACUAGAUGUCAGGCAUAUUGAAAUGUUUGGUGUCGAAGUUAACGCGAUAAGUAUCCCGCCUGGGGAGUACGGCCGCAAGGUUAAAACUCAAAGGAAUUGACGGGGGCCCGCACAAGCGGUGGAGCAUGUGGUUUAAUUCGAUGCAACGCGAAGAACCUUACCCGGAUUUGACAUCCUCUGGACGGAUUUUAGAGAUAAAAUCUUUCUCUUCGGAGACCGGAGUGACAGGUGCUGCAUGGCUGUCGUCAGCUCGUGUUUGUGAGAUGUUGGGUUAAGUCCCGCAACGAGCGCAACCCUUACCUUUAGUUGCCAGCAUUCAGUUGGGCACUCUAGAGGGACUGCCCGGGUUAACCGGGAGGAAGGUGGGGAUGACGUCAAGUCCUCAUGGCCCUUAUGUCCGGGGCUACACACGUGCUACAAUGGUGUAGACAGAGGGAAGCUAAGUCGCAAGGCCAAGCAAAUCCCAGAAACUACAUCCCAGUUCGGAUUGGGGUCUGCAAC